UACGAAGGGGGCUAGCGUUGUUCGGAUUUACUGGGCGUAAAGCGCACGUAGGCGGAUUGUUAAGUCAGGGGUGAAAUCCUGGAGCUCAACUCCAGAACUGCCUUUGAUACUGGCAAUCUUGAGUCCGGAAGAGGUGAGUGGAACUCCUAGUGUAGAGGUGGAAUUCGUAGAUAUUAGGAAGAACACCAGUGGCGAAGGCGGCUCACUGGUCCGGUACUGACGCUGAGGUGCGAAAGCGUGGGGAGCAAACAGGGAUAGAA
rnacentral:rRNA from 1 species